rnacentral:rRNA from 1 species
GAUGAACGCUGGCGGCGUGCCUAAUACAUGCAAGUCGAGCGAACAGACGAGGAGCUUGCUCCUCUGACGUUAGCGGCGGACGGGUGAGUAACACGUGGAUAACCUACCUAUAAGACUGGGAUAACUUCGGGAAACCGGAGCUAAUACCGGAUAAUAUAUUGAACCGCAUGGUUCAAUAGUGAAAGACGGUUUUGCUGUAACUUAUAGAUGGAUCCGCGCCGCAUUAGCUAGUUGGUAAGGUAACGGCUUAUCAAGGCAACGAUGCGUAGCCGACGUGAGAGGGUGAUCGGCCACACUGGAACUGAGACACGGUCCAGACUCCUACGGGAGGCAGCAGUAGGGAAUCGUCCGCAAUGGGCGGAAGCUUGACGGAGCAACGCCGCGUGAGUGAUGAAGGUCUUCGGAUCGUAAAACUCUGUUAUUAGUGAAGAACAAAUGUGUAAGUAACUAUGCACGUCUUGACGGUACCUAAUCAGAAAGCCACGGCUAACUACGUG